AGGAGCCGUAUGAUACGAAAGUAUCAUGUACGGUUUUGGAGAGCAGUGGAGGGGGCGACCUCUUCACUGACUUUAC
rnacentral:ncRNA from 1 species